AACGAACGCUGGCGGCAGGCUUAACGCAUGCAAGUCGAACGCCCCGCAAGGGGAGUGGCAGACGGGUGAGUAACGCGUGGGAAUCUACCUAGUUCUACGGAACAACAGUUGGAAACGACUGCUAAUACCGUAUACGCCCUACGGGGGAAAGACUUAUCGGAAUUAGAUGAGCCAGCGUAAGAUUAGCUAGUUGGUGGGGUAAUGGCCUACCAAGGCGACGAUCGUUAGCUGGUCUGAGAGGAUGAUCAGCCACACUGGGACUGAGACACGGCCCAGACUCCUACGGGAGGCAGCAGUGGGGAAUAUUGGACAAUGGGCGCAAGCCUGAUCCAGCCAUGCCGCGUGAGUGAUGAAGGCCUUAGGGUUGUAAAGCUCUUUCACCGAUGAAGAUAAUGACGGUAGUCGGAGAAGAAGCCCCGGCUAACUUCGUGCCAGCCGCCGCCGUAAGAC
rnacentral:rRNA from 1 species